GGAAGUGUGGCAGAACGGUAAUGCAGCGGCUUGCUAAGCCGUCGCCGCGGUCAAUCCGCGGUUGGGGGUUCGAUUCCCUCCACUUCCG
rnacentral:tRNA from 2 species